rnacentral:rRNA from 1 species
CCUACGGGCGACAGCAGUGAGGAAUAUUGGUCAAUGGACGCAAGUCUGAACCAGCCAUGCCGCGUGCAGGAAGACGGCCCUAUGAGUUGUAAACUGCUUUUGUACGAGGGUAAACGCAGAUACGCGUAUCUGUCUGAAAGUAUCGUACGCAUAAGGAUCGGCUCACUCCGUGCCAGCCGCCGCGGUAAUACGGAGGAUUCAAGCGUUAUCCGGAUUUAUUGGGUUUAAAGGGUGCGUAGGCGGUCGGAUAAGUUAGAGGUGAAAUCCCGAGGCUCAACUUCGGAAUUGCCUCUGAUACUGUUCGGCUAGAGAGUAGUAGCGGUAGGCGGAAUGUAUGGUGUAGCGGUGAAAUGCUUAGAGAUCAUACAGAACACCGAUUGCGAAGGCAGCUUACCAAGCUACUUCUGACGUUGAGGCACGAAAGCGUGGGGAGCAAACAGGAUUAGAUACCCGUGUAGUC